AGAGUUUGAUCCUGGCUCAGAACGAACGCUGGCGGCGCGCCUAAUACAUGCAAGUCGAGCGAGAAGGUGUAGCAAUACACUUGUAAAGCGGCGAACGGGUGAGGAAUGCAUGGGUAACCUACCCUCGAGUGGGGAAUAACUAGCCGAAAGGUUAGCUAAUACCGCAUACGUUUCCGGRACUUCGGUUSCGGAAAGAAAGCAAUACCGUGGGUAUUGCGCUCAUGGAUGGGCUCAUGUCCUAUCAGCUUGUUGGUGAGGUAACGGCUCACCAAGGCUUCGACGGGUARCUGGUCUGAGAGGACGAUCAGCCACACUGGCACUGCGACACGGGCCAGACUCCUACGGGAGGCAGCAGUAAGGAAUAUUGCGCAAUGGACGAAAGUCUGACGCAGCGACGCCGCGUGGGGGAUGAAGGUCUUCGGAUUGUAAACCCCUUUCGGGAGGGAAGAUGGAGUGGGUAACCACUUGGACGGUACCUCCAGAAGCAGCCACGGCUAACUUCGUGCCAGCAGCCGCGGUAAUACGAAGGUGGCAAGCGUUGUUCGGAUUCACUGGGCGUACAGGGAGCGUAGGCGGUUGGGUAAGCCCUCCGUGAAAUCUCCGGGCCUAACCCGGAAAGUGCAGAGGGGACUGCUCAGCUAGAGGAUGGGAGAGGARCGCGGAAUUCCCGGUGUAGCGGUGAAAUGCGUAGAGAUCGGGAGGAAGGCCGGUGGCGAAGGCRGCSSYCUGGRMCWKUWCUGACRCUGAGACRCGAAAGCGUGGGKAKCAAACAGGAUUAGAUACCCUGGUAGUCC
rnacentral:rRNA from 1 species